CCUACGGGGGGCAGCAGUGAGGAAUAUUGGUCAAUGGGCGAGAGCCUGAACCAGCCAAGUCGCGUGAGGGAGUACUGCCUUAUGGGUUGUAAACCUCUUUUGUCGGGGAGCAAAAGCCGGACGUGUCCGGCUGUGAGAGUACCCGAAGAAAAAACAUCGGCUAACUCCGUGCCAGCAGCCGCGGUAAUACGGAGGAUGCUAGCGUUAUCCGGAUUUAUUGGGUUUAAAGGGUGCGCAGGCGGAUUUUUAAGUCAGCGGUAAAAUCGUGGUGAUCAACCCCAUCCAGCCGUUGAAACUGGGGAUCUAGAGUGUGCGAGAGGUAUGCGGAAUGCGUUGUGUAGCGGUGAAAUGCAUAGAUAUCACGCAGAACCCCGAUUGCGAAGGCAGCAUACCGGUGCACAACUGACGCUCAGGCACGAAAGCGUGGGUAUCGAACAGGAUUAGAUACCCGAGUAGUC
rnacentral:rRNA from 1 species